rnacentral:tRNA from 1 species
GCAGUCGUGGCCGAGUGGUUAAGGCGAUGGACUGGAAAUCCAUUGCGGUCUCCCCGCACAGGUUCGAAUCCUGUCGACUGCG